GAUCCACACGGGAUGGUUGUGACAACAAGUCGGAUGGUGCUAUCGCAGAGAAAAAGGCAAGCUGUGAAGCAACAUCAACCUGCAAACCAGAGAAACAAAUGAAGUCUAGACCCACAACUGCAGGAAAAGCAAGGCUGUGCCUUGGCAGGAUCACACAAGCUGGUUUUCCCGGUCCUUCUCCAGUUGCUGACCAAGACGAACAAGACCAUCUACGGUCGUAAGUCUACCACUCC